AUUGAACGCUGGCGGCAUGCCUUACACAUGCAAGUCGAACGGUAACAGGUCUUCGGAUGCUGACGAGUGGCGAACGGGUGAGUAAUACAUCGGAACGUGCCCGAGAGUGGGGGAUAACGAGGCGAAAGCUUUGCUAAUACCGCAUACGAUCUCAGGAUGAAAGCAGGGGACCGCAAGGCCUUGCGCUCACGGAGCGGCCGAUGGCAGAUUAGGUAGUUGGUGGGAUAAAAGCUUACCAAGCCGACGAUCUGUAGCUGGUCUGAGAGGACGACCAGCCACACUGGGACUGAGACACGGCCCAAACUCCUACGGGAGGCAGCAGUGGGGAAUUUUGGACAAUGGGCGCAAGCCUGAUCCAGCCACGCCGCGUGCAGGAUGAAGGCCUUCGGGUUGUAAACUGCUUUUGUACGGAACGAAAAGACUCUGGUUAAUACCUGGGGUCCAUGACGGUACCGUAAGAAUAAGCACCGGCUAACUACGUGCCAGCCGCCGCGGUAAUAC
rnacentral:rRNA from 1 species